CUGCAUAUAUUUCUUCUAAGCAAGUCGCAAGAACAUUAGUGAGGUACUGACAGUCACAUAAUUCUCCAAAUCAUGUCAAACCUUUUUGGUGAGGUGGAAAUAAGGGCUGCAUGAAGUCCUGUCAAGUCAAGUUCCUCCACUCGUAGCAAUCGUUAUAUAUUUACAGUGUUGUCUUUGUGUGAUUGGUGCAGGACAGACAGCUCUUCAUAUCGCCAUUGAGAGGAGAAACAAACGCUGCUUCUACUUUGGCAUCAUCGCUAACCUAGCAACCAUGAUGCCUCCUCGUGUGCUGACGGUUGCAGGAGUGAAAAGGAUUCUAGGUAGCCGGAGCGCUCUGUCUCGGAAUGAAGCCUUGAGACAGGAAGUAGAGCGAGCAUUCCCUUUCCCUGUUGAGUAAGGGAAAGACUUGGACUCAGCAGUCGGAGUGGCAAUGGUUUUUAAUGACAAGCUGACCGGUCCUGUGGAAAAACAUAGAGAAGUUGUACUAUGAUGCUUAAUUGUCUACCUCUCAGAAAAUCCUGAGAAUCUCAUCAAGCAUUAUCAGGAUACUCAUUGGAACGAGGAGGAACUGAAACUGCUCACAUUGAACAUCAUCACGAAAGGUGGCUCAACAGAUGAUCCUUUACAGACUGGAAUAGUGCUGGAAGGCAUAGAGGUGAUGACAGGGUUGGCAGGCAUUGCAAAGGCUUGCGUUUUUCUUCUUGGCCUGACCUUUGCAAUUAAUCUCAGCUACCCCAAAGAGCUCAGAUUCUCUUUUGAGUUUUUUCAGAAGAUCUUGCUGGAACUUGACAGUGGCAAACUUACUCCAAAGGUUUACUCUCUGAAGAACAAGCUUUUUGUUGAAAUUAUUGUGUUCUGACCAUUGCGACUCAAAAUAUGUUUGAGUCACAAGACAUGAUUAGCACAAGACACCAGGUUCUAGUACAAUGUUAGUUGGAAAGUUGUUUUAGUGUUAGUGUUUUCUCAGGAAGUUUGUUGCAUAUUCACAAAAGGAAAGUUUGGAAAAAUGUGAAUAUUUUAAGAGACAUUGCAAAGAGUUUGAACUU